GAAAGAGAAAGAGAAAAACAAACAAAAACAAACAGACACAGAGAGAAGAAAAAGAUGAAGGGGUUGUUGGUGUCCUUCUUCUUUGCUUUUGUUGUUUCUUCUCAAACUCUUCCCUCUUCUUUCUU
rnacentral:ribozyme from 13 species